AUGUCUUUUCUUUCUUUCUUUUUUUUUUUUUCUCUCAUCCUCUCUCUUGGAACUCUGCUAGGAAGUAGAAGUGAUUAUCCACAUUCCAUAGAAGAAGAAGCGGAGCUCAGAAUGGUCUCAUCUCCAGGCAGCUGUCCCUCUUCUGGAUCUCUGGCAACUCCAGUUCACAGCACCCUUUCUCCUCCUAGCCUAGGAUCCAGUGCCUUUAGCAGCCCAGUCAUGCGACUCUCUCACACCAGCCUGGCACCUGGGUGUCGCCCGAAAGCCUCCUCAGAGCUGUCUUUGAUGAGCACCACCUGCUGCCUGUCAGUCCAACUGCGGUGGAGAUGGUUGGGGUCAAAUCCCCAUUGUCAAGGUGAUAGGAGAGACCUCAGUGUGCUUUGUGGAUGCAGAGGAUGAAAAUCAGCAAAACUGAAUGAGCUGUGUGCUGUUCUUAGAGGAAGCACUAGGUAAACUAUUCCAGUACAAUUCUGUUUAUUCUUUUCUGUGCAAACCCAAAUUUAGUGUACCCAAUACACAUGCAUAUGAAUACAUACCACAUAGAAAUGCACAGACAUCACACACACCCACAACACUCAGACACAGGGAUGUGAGUGUAUGCAUGAACACAUACUCACACUCACACACCAUUGUAAGGCUUGUCCUCAUCCUAAGAGUUUAACGUAAUAGCUUUUUUAAAAAAAAUUGAAUAAAUGAAUGAAUGAAAUCAUUAUUUUAUCUGUAAUCAUUUAACAGAGGAUGGAGAAUAAUAGCCACCCACUCUCAACCAUCCCAGUUUUAAACAUUUAUUAAUAUUGGGGUUUAUUUUUAAAAGAAAUUCAAAAACUUAGGGUAAAAUGUUCCCCCAAAACUUUUACUGUUGCCUGGGUUUAUUAUUUUUCAGAAUUCAAUAAAUUUUUCAGAAUUGUUUUUCCUUUAAAGAGUGGAAACUUCUGAAGAAAAUAGCCAUGUUACCAAUGUCGUCACGCUGAAGCCACAGAGUCAAGUUAGUGGCAAUGGCCGUGGACUGGGAGCCAAUUGAACUGGGUUUCAAUCCUGCCUUUUUUUUUAUUAUUUUUAAAUGCAACUGUAUGCAAA
rnacentral:lncRNA from 1 species